rnacentral:misc_RNA from 1 species
CGGCAAGCGGCAGAUGGUCGGUCCCUUCAUCUUCUUCGAUCACUUCGGACCGGUGCAGUUCGUCGCCGGUAAGGGCAUGGAUGUGCGCCCGCAUCCGCAUAUCGGGCUCGCCACCGUCACCUAUCUGUUCGACGGCAGCAUCAUGCACCGCGACAGCGAGGGCAACAUCCAGGAAAUCCAGCCCGGCGCCAUGAACNGAUGACCGCCGGUCGCGGCAUCGCACAUUCGGAGCGCACGCCGGAUGUGCAGCGUGCCAACGGCCAGCAGAUGCUCGGCCUGCAAAGCUGGAUCGCGCUGCCUGCGGGCAAGGAAGAGAUCGCGCCGUCGUUCNUCCAGCAUUUCGCUGCCGCCACGCUGCCGGAAGUCCACGACACCGGCUUCAAGGCGCG